AAACAGCAGCAAAUCUUUGGGGUGUUAUUGUGGCCUCCAUGUUCUCACACACCUGAUGCUAUAGGCUACGCCCAACAGUUGGUGGCA